rnacentral:ribozyme from 13 species
UUUGUUUGUUUCUUUCUUUCUUUCUUUCUUCUUCUUGGACCUUUUCAUUCUCUCGACUUCCAAAAAGGCCCUCAAAAAAACUGAACAUCUCUUUCAAAAAAAAGAAAAGUCACUCUUCGCAAAAGAAAGAGGUCUGUCUCUUCACAGAAGAAGAAGAAGAGAGAAAGAAAA